rnacentral:tRNA from 1 species
GGGGUUGUGGCUCAGCGGCACAGCGCUCGCCUGGCACAUGAGAGGCCCUGGGUUCGAUCCUCAGCACCA